CCCAUUGUGACUGCGUCUAGGUCCCUCUCCCUGUCACCUCAUCGGCCCGAGAGUCAGUUCCUCCAGCCCGGGGUUUCCCUCGGGGUCGCUGCCCAACUCCAGCGUACCCCUCAAGGUCACCUUUCCACCCUCUCCACCCACGUGACUCAAUUGCCGCCUUCCAGAGAACAGCCGUAUCCCCAGCCACCUCGCCUUUGGCCUGCAGACACCGCCGCAGACCCUGGCCUGCUCUCCGUGCUCAAGCCUGGCACCUUCCAGCCGUCCUCCAGAAAGGCCUGUGUCAUCCCAUCACAUGUGCCCUCCACCGUCCACUAAACAAAGUUCCUCCCUGGUCCCCACCUCGGCCACAAGGCCCCAGGUGUGGUCAGAUCGCCACUUCUCUCCAACCUGACUUUCACACUCGCCUGCUUGACUUGCGAGCAUCCUUCAAAUCCUAAGCGUCACCUCCUCCAGGAAGCCUUCCUUGCCUUCCACAUGACCCUCUGACUUGAGACUCCCCGGGAACCUGCACUCGUCUGCCUCCCCACUCAGACACUGCACGGACUGACUUGAUCAUUUGAGUCAAAUGAACAUUUCUUAAACGACACAAAGGUGACCCCUUGCCAGGCAGCAGGUCACUUCCCUGACAGAGGCCAGGUGGGGGCAUGUGCUGCCCACUCCACCCUGGUGCUGGUACCCACUCUGUUCCCCUCCCCACAGGGUCUGGGGCCCUGGGCGGCCCUUCGUGCAGCCUUCUGAGGGCUCCCAUGGGCAGCUUGGUGGGGACCUUCAUGGGGUCCUGGACAGUCCAAAGGGAGGGAGGUGAUGCUGGCUCCUGGGGAACCCUCUCCCUGGCCUCGGAGAGCCUGGCAGUCUGGGAGGGGGCCUGGCACAGCCUCUGGAGGGCACGGCCCUCCGUGGACAACCCCCAAGGAGCCAUGGGGCCCCUACCGCACCCUUACACCUCCUGGCCACCUCCAGCUGGACUGUCACCCCCACGCUGGAGACUCCCACAGACAGGACCGCCACCAGGAGGGGGCAUGUCUGGCUGGGAGGGGCCCGGGAGCCUAAGUCACCCUGACUGGGUUCAAGCUUGGUGCUCUGCCUUCUCUGGCAAAGAAUUUUUCCUUUCUGGGACUCAGUUUCCCCAUCUGUAAAAUAGGAAUUCAUACCAGGGACCCAUGCGAGGGCUAUUGUGAACCUGAAAUGAGUCGAUAUACACAGGCACGUAGGCGGUAGAACAGCCUGAAACACGGAACGUGCUCCUAAGGGUGAGCUCCUCUGACUGCGGGGCGCGCGCGGGACGGCGAAAGCCAAAAUCCAGCCCCACAGCUCUCCGGACGCCCCCACCCCAGG
rnacentral:lncRNA from 1 species